rnacentral:rRNA from 1 species
UCGGGAAUUUUGGGCAAUGGGCGAAAGCCUGACCCAGCAACGCCGCGAGAGGGAUGAAGUAUUUCGGUAUGUAAACCUCGAAAGAAUGGGAAGAAUAAAUGACGGUACCAUUUAUAAGCUCCGGCUAACUACGUGCCAGCAGCCGCGGUAAUACGUAGGGAGCAAGCGUUGUUCGGAUUUACUGGGCGUAAAGGGCGCGUAGGCGGCGCGGUAAGUCACUUGUGAAAUCUCUGAGCUUAACUCAGAACGGCCAAGUGAUACUGCUGUGCUAGAGUGCGGAAGAGGCAACCGGAAUUCUUGGUGUAGCGGUGAAAUGCGUAGAUAUCAAGAGGAACACCUGAGGCGAAGGCGGGUUGCUGUGCCGACACUGACGCUGAUGCGCGAAAGCCAGGGGAGCAAACG